rnacentral:lncRNA from 10 species
CCGGGUUCACGCCAUUCUCCCGUGUUCACGCCAUUCUCCCGCCUCAGCCUCCCGAGUAGCUGGGACUACAGGCGUCCGCCAUCACACCCAGCUAAUUUUUCGUAUUUUUAGUAGAGACGUGUUAGCCAGGAUGGUCUCUAUCUCUUGACCUCGUGAUCCGUCCGCCUCGGCCUCCCAAAGUGCUGGGAUUACAGGCGUGAGCCACCGCGCCUGGCCUUUUAUUUCUAUUCUUUUAGUAGUCUAGAAGAGGACUGCCAUUUAUUUUUAAUGCUGUGUCGGUAAUGCUGCUAGAAAUAUUCUUCACGUGUCAAAUGGUGCACCGAUGCAAGAGAUUUCUACCACGUAAACCCAAAACUGAAGUUGCUGUAUUGUAAGUGUUGAGGUGAGCAAGUUCUACAGCAGGCAGAUCAGCAAAUGGAUGAGGAAUGGUGGUGCCUUAGACCAGCCUGAUAACAGGAGAAGUGUUUGCAUACCAGAUACAUGUUGAAGGUCAGCCCUAUGCAUUAUGAGUGGAUGGAGGAAAUAUACAACAGUGUGAAUACUCAAGAGAGAAUAGGCCUCACUAUGUUGCCCAGGCUAGUCUUGAAUUCCUGGGCUCAAGCAAACCACCUGCCUUAGCCUCCCAAAGUGCUGUGAUUACACAUGUGAGCCACUGUGCCCAGCCUAGAGGUAAGUGUCUUCUAAUGGAAACAAAUAAAUAGCUAGUGCCCUUAUAAUUAUGCUGAAGUAAAAUAAGCCUGAGAGAGAAAAUAACCUAUCUGGAAUCAAAUUAUUACGUGCAGUGUGGACAGUGUGGAUAUAGAAUUUGAUUAAACAUUUAAAUGAGCAUUUAAGAAAAUAACUAAAAUGUAAUUUUGAAGGGAAUUUUAAACAACCUCAUAUUUCACUGGAAUUGUUAAUCCUCCUGUCUUCACAUUUUAAAGGCUGAAUUAUUAAACAUUAUAAUAAUAUCUUAGUCACCUUAAGUGUCAAAUAAAUUACUUAGAGAAGUGAUCUGAGACUUUCAGUGAAUCAUUAAAGACUCCUUUUUUUGUGACUUAGUCCCUUCUCUCUGGAACAAAAUAACAUAUAUUUUGAUACAACACAUUGUUAAAAUCAGAAA